GUAGAGAGGGGUAAAUUAAUAAAUUUUAUAAUUAAUAAAAAUAAUUUUAAUAUUAAAAUGGGGGUUUUAGUAUUAAUAUAGAAAAAAUUAAUAAAUUUAUAGUCAAUUAGUAUUGUAAAAUAAUUUUGAAAUAUUAUUAAAAUAAAAUUAUUAAAAAGUAAUUUUUAAUUAGUGUAUCUUGGGUAUCAGAGUUUAUUAAUAAAAUUAUUUAAUAUAAAAUUUUCUCGAAUUAAAAAGAGAUAAUUAAUUAUUAAAGUUAUUGUUACAUAAAUAUUUUAAAUAGUUAAUUUGAAAUGAGAUGUUAAUCGUUUUUUAAGAUAUCUAGUUUUUUUAGAAAAAAGUUUAAGUUUAAAUUUAAUUUAUUAAAUUAAUUUUUUUUUAUUAAUUAAUUUAAAUUAAAAUUUUAUAUUUUAAGGGAUAAGCUUUAAAAUAAAUUUUUAUAAUUAAUAAAUUUAAAAUAAAAAAUUUUAAGAUUUAUAUUGUUUAAAAAUUAUAAUUUAUUUAUAAAUAAUUUUAAUUUAAUUAAAAAUUUAAAAAAAAAAUUAAUUUAAUUUUUUAUAAAAAAAUAAAUUUUAAUAAAAUAAAUUAAAUUAUAAUGAUAAAAUUAGUAUUUAUAAAUUUUUAAAUUAAAAUUAAUAAUUUAAAUAAGUAAUAUAAAGGAAUUCGGCAAAUUUUUAUAUUCACUUGUUUAUCAAAAACAUGUCUUUUUGUUAUAUAAUUUAAAGUCUAAUCUGCCCACUGAUGAAUAUUAAAGGGCUGCAGUAAUUUGACUGUACAAAGGUAGCAUAAUAAAUAGUCUCUUAAUUGGUGACUUGUAUGAAUGAUUGGAUGAAAUAUAAACUGUCUCUUUAUUAAUAAAAUAACUUAAUUUUUUAAUUAAAAAGUUAAAAUGAUUUUAAAAGACGAGAAGACCCCAUAGAGUUUUAUAGAUAAUAAUUAAUUAAAGUUUUAUAUAAAUUUAUGAAUUAAAAUUAUUUUUUCUAUUAUGUUGGGGUGAUAAAAAAAUUAAAUUAACUUUUUUUUAAAAAGUUAACAUAAAUAAGUGAAAGUAAUGAUCCAAAAUUUUUGAUUAAAAGAUUAAAUUACCUUGGGGAUAACAGCGUAAUUUUUUUUUUUAGUUCAAAUAAGAAAAAGAGUUUGCGACCUCGAUGUUGGAUUAAGAUAAAAUUUAAAUGCAAAAGUUUAAAAUUUUUGAUCUGUUCGAUCAUUAAAAUCUUACAUGAUCUGAGUUCAAACCGGCGUGAGCCAGGUUGGUUUCUAUCUUUAAAAAAUUGAAGUAUUUUAGUACGAAAGGAUCAAAUAUUUAAAUUAGAUUUAUUUUAAAGAAUAUUAUUAAUUUAAUUAUAAAUAUAUGUAAUUAUAUACAAUAAAUAUAUAAUAUAGAUGGGUAAAUAAUUAG
rnacentral:rRNA from 1 species